CUGUAGCUUGGUGGUAAAGUGUCUGUUUUGCAUGCAGAAAGCCCCAGGUUCAGUUCCAGGGCUGGGAGA